rnacentral:rRNA from 1 species
CAUGCAGGCGGUCGGACGCGUUUUGUGUGACAGCGGGUGGCUUAACUACCCGAGUAUGCGAAAGACGGUCUGACUUGAGGGCUCGAGAGGGACACGGAAUUCCGGGUGGAGUGGUGAAAUGCGUAGAGAUCCGGAGGGACACCGAAGGCGAAGGCAGUGUCCUGGCGAGUGACUGACGCUGAGGUGCGAAAGCCAGGGGAGCGAACGGGAUUAGAUACCCCGGUAGUCCUGGCCGUAAACGAUGACCACCAGGUGUGGGAGGUAUCGACCCCUUCCGUGCCGGAGGAAACCCACUAAGUGGUCCGCCUGGGGAGUACGGUCGCAAGAUUAAA